rnacentral:rRNA from 1 species
AACGAACGCUGGCGGCAUGCCUAACACAUGCAAGUCGAACGAAGCCUUCGGGCUUAGUGGCGCACGGGUGCGUAACGCGUGGGAAUCUGCCCUUUGGUUCGGAAUAACAGUUGGGAACGACUGCUAAUACCGGAUGAUGACGAAAGUCCAAAGAUUUAUCGCCAGAGGAUGAGCCCGCGUAGGAUUAGCUAGUUGGUGUGGUAAAGGCGCACCAAGGCGACGAUCCUUAGCUGGUCUGAGAGGAUGAUCAGCCACACUGGGACUGAGACACGGCCCAGACUCCUACGGGAGGCAGCAGUGGGGAAUAUUGGACAAUGGGCGAAAGCCUGAUCCAGCAAUGCCGCGUGAGUGAUGAAGGCCCUAGGGUUGUAAAGCUCUUUUACCCGGGAUGAUAAUGACAGUACCGGGAGAAUAAGCCCCGGCUAACUACGUGCCAGCAGCCGCAGUAA